CUCUCCCUCGCAGGGGACGCAAGAGACAGGCCCACUCAGCAGCAGCUGGAGGCUCCGUGGAAGAGAGAUACAUGGAAUUCACAUCACUAUGGGACAGCCAUGCUUAACUUAGAAGAGGAAACAUGAUGAUACUGAGACCACCACACAAGUAAGAUUACAGAAAUAACAUAUAUCAAGGUUACCUGGGGCUCCACACACUGUGUUGAUUGCAGUUGACUGAGAAGAUAACAGUUCAUCCAGC